rnacentral:tRNA from 1 species
GCCAUUGUGGCUCAGUGGACAGAGCGUUGGUCUGUGGACCAAAGAGUCCCAGGUUCGAUUCCGGUCAAGGGCA